rnacentral:misc_RNA from 1 species
UUUCCGUAGGUGAACCUGCGGAAGGAUCAUUAUCGUGGGGCUUCGGCCCUAUCGAGAUAGAACCCUUGCCUUUAUAGUACCUUCUGUUGCCUCGGCGUACGCUUCACCGCUGCGCCAACGGGGCCAACCAAAAACCCUUUUUUUUUAUCAUGAAUUAGUCUGAAAAACAAACAAAAGUUAAAACUUUCAACAACGGAUCUCUUGGUUCUG